UUGGACUGUCCCCUGAGUCGGUUUAAAUCGGUUUCUGUUUCGCGUCUUGCGACGUGCUGCGACUAAUAUGCGAAAUGCAACUAAGUUAAGCGCACACUUGGCCAGCAGAAGUAGAAACAGCAGCAGCAGCAGCAGCAGCAAUAACAGAUGCAGCUCAAUCAUGAUUGAAAGGGGUUUCAAUUUCAAUUAAAGACAUCGCAAUGGUGAGGAGAUAGGGGGGGCAGUGGGGGCUAGUCCAAUCCGGGCGUGCGAAAAUAGCCCGCCACGCGCUUCGCCAAUGGCGACCCACAAACGAGGCGCUAAAUUGAAUGCCCGAAUGCUUUAUGGCAAUAUUAAUGCCAUUCAUAAGGCCAUACCCGAGCCACACAUCACAUCACUCUCUCCUUCAUCGUCGCCCACUCGUGUACAGUCACACGCCGGAGUCGAGUGCUACAUUAUAGGCGCCAGUUUAGCAGUGUCAGCAGUCGACGCUUAACGAUCCAACAAUAGGCCGACUACGAUCAUGUUUAUGCCGUGCUAAUCCCAACUAAUCAGAGCAUAUUUUGAUCGGACGAAAUGGGGUAUUACGCAUGGAAUUACUAGAUAACGCGUAAACUCUUAAUAAUUCAACCCUUUAGCUUCUACUUCUUCUACUAGAUUAUUACUAUAUAAUUACGUGACUUCACAGUCUUA